UGCUUGCUCAUUCUGCAGUCAUUCCUGACUCAGGGAGGGAUGAGGACCGAGGCCGAGGGCUUUGGGGACUGCUCGCCAGCCUCACAUUUUUCACCACACAGAGCAGACCGUUUCAGCACCUGGUCACGCUAGGCUGACUGCAGCUACUGGGGGCUUCCUCGUCUGGACACGGGAGAAGGGCCAGCAUCGUAAGUUUACGGCAAGGGUUCCAAGAGGGGCUGUGGCAAACCUGCAGCCAGGACCUGCCUGUGGCAUAUUAUUACCAAGAGACCUUCUACAAAGAAUCUACCCUAAGACAAAGAGAGCUUUCCGGGAGCUCCGCGGACAGUGGUGACCUGGCCAACACCGGGAACAGACGCAAGAAUAUGAGAAGCAAUCCCAGGCAGUCCAUGGUGAAGAAACCAAAGAUGAGCGUUUUGGUGGUAACGACAAGAAAAAGUGUGUGGAAGCACCUGUGUCAUCUGACACAGAGCAGGGCUUGACAGACGCAGCUCUUCUGCUUGUUGUCAAAGUGAUGGGCUGUUACAUGAGUUCUGAGAAAUCUGGCUUUUGCGCUUGAUGAGAGAUAUUGCAACUUUUUCAUUUUGCUGCCUGAAAUGCGGAUCUGUAAGCAUUCUCUUGGAGGAGAGGUUUCAUGCUUAAUUUCAGAAUGGCUCCACUGUAGUAUCCUUCCCACGGCAAAAUCAGCCUUUAUGCUCCCCUCAAAUAAACUUCAGCUCGUUGAUUAAAGCAUUGUGAAAAGUCAUGUCAA